rnacentral:lncRNA from 1 species
GGGCCACCCUGUGGCUUAGCAGGCGGCCGGCUCUGCCCAAGGAAGCCCAGGGCCUGUCUCAGUGUCCCCUCAGACUGCUGCAUGGCCUGGGGGAAGGGCCGUUGAGGGUCUUGGCUGCUGCCACUGCAAUAACAGGACUUCUCCUCUCACAGAGACCAGCUCUUCGGCCACCAGCUACAGCUCUGAGUUCAGCAAGCGGCUGCUAAGCACCUAUAUCUGUAAAGUGCUGGGCAACCUGCAGUUGAACUUGCUGAGCAAGUCCAAGGUGUACGAGGACCCAGCUCUGAGCGCCAUCUUCCUGCACAACA